rnacentral:rRNA from 1 species
CUACGGGACGCUGCAGUGAGGAAUAUUGCACAAUGGGGGGAACCCUGAUGCAGCAACGCCGCGUGGAGGAUGACGCAUUUCGGUGUGUAAACUCCUUUUAUAUGUCAAGAAAAUGACGGUAGCAUAUGAAUAAGCACCGGCUAACUCCGUGCCAGCAGCCGCGGUAAUACGGAGGGUGCAAGCGUUACUCGGAAGCACUGGGCGUAAAGGACGCGUAGGCGGGUUGGAAAGUCAGGUGUGAAAUCCUACAGCUUAACUGUAGAACUGCACUUGAAACUUCUAAUCUAGAGUAUGGGAGGGGGAAAUGGAAUUAGUGGUGUAGGGGUAAAAUCCGUAGAUAUCACUAGGAAUACCUAAAGCGAAGGCGAUCUCCUGGAACAUUACUGACGCUAAGGUGUGAAAGCGUGGGGAGCAAACAGGAUUAGAUACCCGGGUAGUC